GACGAACGCUGGCGGCGCGCCUAACACAUGCAAGUCGAACGGAGCGCACUGUGUGAAGCUCUUCGGAGUGGAACUUUGUGUUGCUUAGUGGCGAACGGGUGAGUAACACGUGAGUAACCUGCCCUUGAGUGGGGGACAACAUUUGGAAACAGAUGCUAAUACCGCAUAAGACCACGGUACCGCAUGGUACUGGGGCCAAAGGAGCAAUUCGCUUAAGGAUGGACUCGCGUCUGAUUAGCUAGUUGGUGAGGUAAUGGCUCACCAAGGCAACGAUCAGUAGCCGGACUGAGAGGUUGAACGGCCACAUUGGGACUGAGACACGGCCCAGACUCCUACGGGAGGCAGCAGUGGGGAAUAUUGCACAAUGGACGAAAGUCUGAUGCAGCGACGCCGCGUGGAGGAAGAAGGUUUUCGGAUUGUAAACUCCUGUCUUCGGGGACGAUAAUGACGGUACCCGAGGAGGAAGCCACGGCUAACUACGUGCCAGCCGCCGCAGUAAAAC
rnacentral:rRNA from 1 species